rnacentral:SRP_RNA from 2 species
GCUGGGUGUGGUGGCGUGUGCCUGUAGUCCCAGCUACCCAGGAGGCUGAGGCAGGAGAAUCACUUGAACCUGGGAGGUGGAGGUUGCAGUGAGCUGAGAUCGUGCCACUGUCCUCCAGCCUGGGUGACAGAGUGAGACUCUGUCUCAA